GAUUAUCGAAGGACUAAGCCUUAAUUCAUAAUC
rnacentral:ncRNA from 1 species